rnacentral:sRNA from 1 species
GCCUACUGGUGACUCGGCUGCAGGUGAGCGAGCUCAGGGACCUCUGGGUUCACGGGGGCGGGGUGUCUCCUACUGUGCCGGCGGCUGUGGGCGAGGCAGGGCGAGGCGGGCCCAACCUGGGGCCAACUUCUCGUGUACCUGUCCCGGUUGUGGGCCCGGCACCCGUGCCCGCUUCUCUGGUGCCCUAGGUCAAGGCGUCCCCGGCACAGUCAGCUUUCCUGGCCCUGUCCCUGCCUCGCAAGAAGCGUGGGCCCAAGCAGCGGCGGCCGGGUGAAGAGCGGAGGCACCUCUUUCUUCUUUUUGAGGACAGCAUUGCCUGCUCCCGUGGGGUGUGUUUCCAUUCCUCAAGACUGAACCGGCCGCUGACCCUCUCGGAGAAGAUAGUGUAUGGACACCUGGAUGACCCCGCCAGCCAGGAAAUCGAGCGGGGCAAGUCGUACCUGCGGCUGCGGCCGGACCGUGUGGCCAUGCAGGAUGCGACGGCCCAGAUGGCCAUGCUCCAGUUCAUCAGCAGCGGGCUGUCCAAGGUGGCUGUGCCAUCCACCAUCCACUGUGACCAUCUGAUUGAAGCCCAGGUUGGGGGCGAGAAAGACCUGCGCCGGGCCAAGGACAUCAACCAGGAAGUUUAUAAUUUCCUGGCAACUGCAGGUGCCAAAUAUGGCGUGGGCUUCUGGAAGCCUGGAUCUGGAAUCAUUCACC